rnacentral:rRNA from 1 species
CCUACGGGCGGCAGCAGUGGGGGAUAUUGCACAAUGGGGGAAACCCUGAUGCAGCAACGCCGCGUGAGUGAAGAAGUAUUUCUGUAUGUAAAGCUCUAUCAGCAGGGAAGAAGAUUACGGUACCUGGGUAAGAAGCCCCGGCUAACUACGUUCCAGCCGCCGCGGUCAUACGUAGGGGGCAAGCGUUAUCCGGCUUUACUGGGGGUAAAGGGGGCGCAGACGGUGAGACAAGUCUGAAGUGAAAGCCCGGGGCUCAACCCCGGGACUGCUUUGGAAACUGCCGGACUGGAGUGCUGGAGAGGCAAGCGGAAUUCCUAGUGUAGCGGUGAAAUGCGUAGAUAUUAGGAAGAACACCAGUGGCGAAGGCGGCUUGCUGGACAGUAACUGACGUUGAGGCUCGAAAGCGUGGGGAGCAAACAGGAUUAGAUACCCCAGUAGUC